rnacentral:tRNA from 1 species
AGGAUUGUAGUUAAAAAUAACAUUUAAUUUGCAAUUAAAAAGUACUAAACAGUCAAUCUUU